UAUCACUAACUUUUUAAACAUUGGCUUUGUGGCAGUGCCAAUUAAUUGAAAUUCAGUUUUCGCUACGUUUAAGCUCAGUUUGUUUUCCAUAAGCCACUUUCGAGUCUUUCUAAAUCCAAAUUUACUGCAGAUUCAAUAUCAUUCAUGCACUUUCCAGAUGCUGUAAUAUUUGUGUCGCCAGCGAACAUCCGGGGUCUAGUUUCAUUUAGACAAGAUGGCAGAAGAAAGGAUAAUGGUCCCAAUAUGGAGCCUUGGGGUACGCCGCAUUUUACAAUAUUUUCUUUAGAUGUAGAGCCGUUUAUUUCACAUCAUUCCAAUUAGUAAUAGUUUUUUCCAAUAAUAUGUCGUGGUUAACAGUGUCGAAGGCCUUUUUAGUCUAUGAAUACAACCAAAUUAAACGUCAAUUUUCGAUCCAUUUUUAAAUACCCAUCAUUUGUACAGUCAAGUAAGGCUGACGCAGUCGAGUGAAACUUUUGGAAACCAAACUGAUGUUCUGAGAGGUUGUUUAGCCGAAAAUUCUCAAAUAGUUGAUAUAUAUAUAAAAUACGUUCCAUAACUUUGCUUCUGGCAGGCAGGCAGGCAGUCAGGCAAGACAGAGAUUGGACGAACAUGGUUUGUAGUAACUGGUUUGAAUGCAGUGAAUUCAGAUUCAGCUUUUUCAGUUGUAUCAAUUUCAUCUGCUAAGUUAGGUCCAAUAUUUGAAAAGUAAUCAUUCAAAACCCUUUGCUAUGUCUUCAGGGCUUGUUAUAUAUAUAGUUUUACAUUAUCUAUAUUUAGUUCAUUCACUUCAGUAGGACGUGUUGCUUCAUCAAUUAAUUGAGUUAAUAGGCAGCUUGCAUGUUAGACUAAUUUUUGAUUUAGGCAAAAAAAAAGUAAAUUCCCAUAAAGAACUUAUUAAAAUCAGUAAAUUGCAAAAUUUGGUUACGAAAUGUUGUAAAAUACAGAAAAUAUAACCUUGCGAAGUUUGCAUAUUUUCAGUAUGUUUGUAUUACGUGCGGAAAUUGUUACCAUUUUUGAGCCGAAAUUGUUACCAUUUUUUCCGCACGUAAUACAAAUAUACUGAAAAUAUGCAAACUUCGCAAGGCUAUAUUUUCUGUAUUUUACAACAUUUCGUAACCAAAUUUUGCAAUUUUACUAAUUGCAUUAUGUUCUUUUUAACUGUUGUGUUCGAUUCUCUUCUCUUUACAUAGAUUAAAAUUUAGUCUAACAUGCAAGUUGUCCAUUGUAAAUCUCGAAAAGGGACCUUAAUUUAUUUGCUGGGUGGUUGUGAUUGUGUAUGCCCCUAACGCUUCAAACUUUUUUGGCGAUGUCAAAUCUUGGCAUGAUUGCUAGUAUUUCGCUGAAAACAAAAAUGAAUUUCGUCAAAUCCUCCAAUUUUUAUGGCAGUUUAAAGUUGGUAAAAAGGCACUUUCACAAGUCUCAAAUUUCACAAGGAGUCUGAGACGAGUAAAUUUUGUGACAUCAUUCGAGAUACUCGUGAAAACCACAUGCAAAUUCACUGUAGAUCAUAUUUAACAAAUAUAAAACAUUUUCCGUGUUGAUAUUUAACAAUUAUUCGCCGAAGGCGAAGUGAUUACCGGUGAAUAUUCACCGAGACGAAGUCGAGGUGAAUAUUCACCGUAAUCACUGAGCCUGAGGCGAAUAAUUGUUUUAGUAUAAAUUUUUAAAAUGUUUAGGAACGAACUUUCCCUAAGUCUCAUGUUAUUAGUAUAUUUUGUGUUCAAUAUAUAGACCACAGUAAGACUUUUUUAAAUGUUUAUUUCAUUAAAAAAAAAAAAAAAAAAAAAAAAAAAAAAUUCAAAUAGUAAUCCUACCUGAAGAUGGAGUAAAUCUCCGAAACGUCGUUUGUUAAUGAAAUAAACAUUUAAAAAAGUCUUACUGUGGUCUAUAUACUGAACACAAAAUAUAAAUUUUUAAUGAAUAAAACAAAAUAUCCGAAUAUCAGUUCAAUUAAAUUUCAGAAAUAAAACUAUUUUCGGCCUGUUCAUUAAUAGUGUUGCAGUAUUUCUUGUACGCACACGCUUUCAAAAUGGCUUCUUGUGUGACUUUAUUGCUUUAUUACAAAGUUGUUUUUUCUCGAUUUCUGCUUGGAAUAUAAACACAAUAACGGAAUGACUCUUUCACCUGACUUAGAAUUAAAAACAGUUUCUGUUUAGCAUUAUUUUCUUCAGGAAAUAGCUGAGGAAUUUGGUAAAAUGAAAUGUAAAACUAUAUUGUUCGAAAUAAAGUUUUAAUAACACUUUUUACUUUACAAGUUUCGAAAAUACAAUACAUGAGCGGUCCGAACACCAUACAGCACAAUGAAAACAUGACAUAUCAAAAGAAAUAGUAUCGUACAAAUUGGGAAAUCUAUAGCAUACAAAAUAAAAUGGAUUUUAAAGAAUAUCACGGCAAGGUUUUUCCCAAAAGUCAGGAUGGUUUUUGCUAUUUGUUUGAAGUUAAUGUUUCGGAGUUUUAAAUAAGUUUUAAAUUGUCCGUGAAUAUGAUUGACACAGUAAAAUAAUAAAGGAAUCCUACCUUUCAAGUUAAAUACAACAUUUUGUGCUUCUUUCGUUUUCUGGGGACGAUUUUUUUCAAUAUUUUGUCGAUUUUGAAACCAAAUUUCACUAAAUUUGCCGAAUCAUUCUUUUUGAAAAGCAUUAUUUACUACCCAGGUGGUAAAUAAUGCCUCAGAUUUACUAGUCAGCUAGCCAAUCAGAACGCGCGAAAGCUCAUUUGAUAUGCAAAAUUUAUACUAAACAGUUAUAUCAACACGAGUGGAAAAUGGGAAAACGAGAAAUUGUGUGGAAACACGACGCCCGAAGGGCGGAGUGUUUUCACACAAUUUGGAGUUUUCCCAAUUUCCACGAGUGUUGAUAUAACUAUUUAUUUUUUUUCUUGCGGUCCGAAGUCAUAUUUUACGCUUUUCUGCAAUCUGAUUGGCUACGUGAGCGGUCCGUAUGUAUGAGCCCGUACGGACCGCGCGAGAUUUAAAGCCGUAGAGCCAAUGUUUUUAUUUUUCAAAAUUUAAAGACGAGUUUAAAAGCUACUUUUUAAAACAUUAAAAUGUCUGCAGACGAUGAAAAACACAGUGAAAACGAAUUUUACUGGCUCACAAAAGAUAUUUCUCUUCCCGAUAGCAUUCAUAGAAACGACGUUUUAUUUGGCAGCUUCAUUCGCGUGCGGGAGGAGUGAUUGGGGAAAUCCAAAGGAAUUAAAAAAAAAUAAAACUAUUAUUUACCGGUAUGGUCGGCCCGUAUAGAGAAAUAUUUCUCUCGGUCUUAAAAACGUCCCUCGGCCUUCGGCCUCGGGCCGUUUUUAAGACCUCGAGAAAUAUUUCUCUAUACGGACCUCCAAUCCGGUAAAUAACAUAUAUAUAUCAAACGGAAAAAAUGUUUUAUAUUUGUUUUAUAAUAUAGCACAAAGAAAUAUAAAGAAAGAAAUUUUCCGACGUUUCCGUGUUGACAUUGAGCUAUAUCAACACGGCUCUUAGCCAAUCAGCGUUCAGAAUUUACAAAUGCUAUAUUAUAAACAUACAUUGCGUUUGCUUUGGUAAAACAAGGUCAAUAGUUGUGCAGCGGCCAAUUGCGCGAAUAAAGUUUGUUUUUCAGGUAUAAGUGUUCACACUAUUCCUUAUUACAACGAUGAUCGACCUGAAGCAAAGAGAAGACGGAAAAUCUGGGUUGACUUCGUGAAGGCAAAACGGAUCCUCGAGCCUUCGAAGGCUUGGACUUUAUGCUCAAUUCACUUUCUACCUGAACAGUUUUGUAUCUGUUGUUUGUUUUUCUCUUAGAAUUGGAUCGAAAAGGUGGUUGCAGGUAUUCACAUCCUGGAAUGCUGUGAAAUGGCCCUGCUGACCUGUUGGGACAUUCUAUUGGGUGAACAUCAAAUGGUGUGUGGUGUGAAAUGAAAUUUGACUAAUAGAAUUGAAAUGGUGUGAAUGGUGUGGAUAAUAAUGAUGCUAGUGAAAUAUUUUUUGAUGAUGCUGGUGAUGCAUGAACUGUAAUGAUACUGGUGAAGCAUAUAAAUUUACAAUAAAGAUAUACAAUAACAAUAACACUUUAUU